UCCGGCGGCAGGCUCUGGCCGCGUUUGGGCCGGGCCGGGCCCGCACCGGGCAGAAGAGAGCGGUAUGUGGCUGCCGCCGCUGCUCUGGCUCUUGGCGGGGCUACUGCUGGUUGCCCUUUGCGGAAAGCCUGCGGCGGCGGCCCUUCCCGUACGGAGCGCCGCCACCACCUCCCCGCGCCCCGCGGAGGUGGCCGGCGGGGCCGCCACGCGAAGCAGCAGCAACCGGCUGGCCGAGGUGUCAGCGCUGCCCAAGCAAGGCCAACCUAUGACCCAGCGCGCCCUAUCCGUAUUGGUGCUGGCCAGCGCUGCCCUCAUCGUCUACUUCGUGAUCCGGACCGUAGGACUCAGAAGGCCAAACAGGAAAACCCGAAGAUACGGAGUUUUGGAUACAAACGUAGAAAACGUGGAGCUGACCCCAUUAGAGCAAGAUGAUGAUGAUGAUGAUGAUGAUACAACUCUAUUUGAUGCCAAUCAUCCUCGAAGUUGGGAGAAGGGAUGUCAAGAUCACUUGAAUUUUAAAUGGGCAAGAAUUUAGUGGGCAAGAAGAUAAAAACCAUUUGUCUUCAACAUAUGAGUUCCAGAGAAAUGGAGAGGAAGGAUGCAUAAGGAUGAAAAUGAAAGUGAGAACAAGAAGUACGUGCCUUUCAAUGAAAAAACUUAAUCUUAGAACCAGAGAUGGAGACUGCGUCAUGGGAGGAAUGAGAAGCAAAAGGGUAUGCAAGUUGGGGGGACUUAUUUAAUCUGUGUAUAUUAUGACAUCUGUAACUUUUUGCAAUAAACACUGUACCAACUUGUUGUACCUUUUUGUAUAUAGAAGAUUCUAAAUGUAAAGCCUACAAAGAGAGAGUGCACGAAAUUGAAAACCUAUGUGGAAGGCAGAUUGCUUUUAAAACAGGGCAUUUUUUGCUUGCUACAAAUCUUGUACGCCAUGAGUGUGGUAUAUAUUUUUUCUACAGUAACCUGGAAUGUUAACACAUUUUUAGCUGAUAUGAAAUUGUAAGUGAACGUAGCCUCUGUGGACUCCUCAGAAUUGUUAGAACUUUAUUUUAGUUCAGGAGAUGCUUUUUUGUUUACAAAUAAAAAGCCAAACAACUA